rnacentral:rRNA from 1 species
AUGGCGGCAGCGAACGGCGCCAAGGGGUUUGAGGUGCCGGAACUGGACAUCAAGUUCACCAAGCUCUUCAUCAAUGGCCAGUUCGUCGACGCGGCUUCCGGCAAGACGUUCGAGACCCGGGACCCACGCACCGGCGAGGUGAUCGCCAAGAUCGCCGAGGGAGACAAGGCCGACAUCGACCUCGCCGUGAAGGCCGCCCGCGAGGCCUUCGACAACGGCCCAUGGCCCAGAAUGCCCGGCUGUGCAAGGGCCCGGAUCAUGCACAGGUUCGCGGACCUGGUGGACCAGCACGUCGAGGAGCUGGCGGCGCUGGACACGGUGGACGCCGGCAAGCUAUUCCUGAUGGGUAAGAUGAUGGACAUCCCCGGAGGCGCCAACCUGCUCCGCUACUACGCCGGCGCCGCCGACAAGAUCCACGGCGAGACGCUCAAGAUGGCGCGCCCGCUCCACGGCUACACGCUCAAGGAGCCCGUCGGCGUCGUGGGCCACAUCGUGCCAUGGAACUACCCCACCACCAUGUUCUUCUUCAAGGUCAGCCCCGCGCUCGCCGCCGGCUGCACCAUGGUCGUCAAGCCCGCCGAGCAGACGCCCCUCUCCGCGCUCUUCUACGCCCACCUCGCCAAGGAGGCCGGCAUCCCCGACGGCGUCCUCAACGUCGUGCCGGGAUUCGGCCCGACGGCCGGCGCGGCCAUGGCCUCUCACAUGGACGUCGACAAGAUCAGCUUCACGGGAUCCACGGAGGUCGGGCGGCUGGUCAUGCAGGCGGCGGCCAUGAGCAACCUCAAGCCCGUCUCGCUGGAGCUGGGGGGCAAGUCCCCCGUCAUCGUGUUUGACGACGCCGACGUUGACAUGGCCGUGAACCUCGUGAACAUGGCCACCUACAUGAACAAGGGCGAGAUCUGUGUCGCUGGCACGCGCAUAUACGUGCAGGAAGGGAUCUACGACGCCUUUGUGAAGAAGUCGGUCGAGCUUGCCAAGAAAUCGGUGGUCGGAGAUCCUUUCAACCCCAACGUACAUCAAGGCCCUCAGGUUGACAAGGAUCAAUACGAGAAGGUGCUCAAGUACAUCGACGUCGGUAAGAGCGAAGGCGCCACCCUGCUCACCGGAGGGAAGCCUUGCAGCGACAAGGGUUACUACAUCGAGCCCACCAUCUUCACCAACGUCACCGAUGACAUGGCGAUUGCGCAAGAGGAAAUCUUCGGCCCGGUCAUGGCGCUCAUGAAAUUCAAGACGGUGGAGGAGGUGAUUCAGAAGGCCAACAGCACCCGGUAUGGCCUGGCCGCCGGCGUGGUGACCAAGAACAUCGACACCAUGAACACCGUGUCGCGGUCGGUCAGGUCCGGUGUCGUCUGGGUUAACUGCUACUUCGCCUUCGACCCCGACGCCCCGUUCGGCGGCUGCAAGAUGAGCGGCUUCGGCAAGGACAUGGGCACGGAUGCUCUCGAGAAGUACCUGCACACCAAGACGGUGGUCACUCCGCUCUACAACACGCCCUGGCUGUGA